rnacentral:misc_RNA from 1 species
CCGUCAAUUCCUUUGAGUUUCACUCUUGCGAGCGUACUCCCCAGGCGGAGUGCUUAAUGCGUUAGCUGCGGCACUGAGGUUUGACCCCCAACACCUAGCACUCAUCGUUUACGGUGUGGACUACCAGGGUAUCUAAUCCUGUUUGCUCCCCACACUUUCGUGCCUCAGCGUCAGUUACAGUCCAGAAAGUCGCCUUCGCCACUGGUGUUCCUCCUAAUAUCUACGCAUUUCACCGCUACACUAGGAAUUCCACUUUCCUCUCCUGCACUCAAGUCCUACAGUUUCAAAGGCUUACUACGGUUGAGCCGUAGCCUUUCACCCCUGACUUGUAAGACCGCCUACGCACCCUUUACGCCCAGUGAUUCCGGAUAACGCUUGCCCCCUACGUAUUACCGCGGCG